AAUAUAUUUUAUUUUCAAUGAAAAGACGGCGACAGUACUAACACAUAAAUGCAUCUUUAAUUAAAAAUGCAACGUAUGCUGUCUGUCAGCUGGGAAUACAUGCUGAGAUAGCUUGUAUAAAAUUCUAAAACACUCAAAUGUAAAAGUACUCGCAACCUCGAAGUGAAGCGUUAAUGGCUUAAAUGCAACGACAAUAACAGCAGCAGUAGCAGCAACAGCAGCCGCAGUAGGGCCGAGCUGGCAGAAGGCAGACGGCAGAAGGUUUACUUCCAGGCCAUUAGCUUAAUAUGGUCUGACCAUAACGUGAACCGCAUAAGGCAGAGAGACAACGCCAUAAAAACCAGCAAUAACAAUAACAAUAUAAACAGACAGCAGCAACAAAUGCAAGAAGCAGGCGACAAUGAAAUGGUAAAAAGCACGCAGAGCGCAAUGCAAAUGGAAGCAAGUUGCAAGUUGCCGCGUUGCAAGCUGCAGAGUUGAAAGGGCAGAACCACCACCAUCAUCAACACCACGCCCAUGUGUAGGGGGGUUAGCGUUACUGCCUGGGUAUAUUGGGAUGUGGGGAAUUGCCGGAUGCGCUGUUAGCCGCACGAGUUGCCUGCAUUAAUGCAAUGUGCAACAAGCUAGAACACCGCGCCGCAAAUUGACAACAAAACAAAAGGCAACAGAAAUUAAAAAUAAAGUAGGGAAAACUAAACUGCAUGCAACGCUUAAAAUAUAUGCAAACAGCAGCAAUAAUAGCAACAACAACAGCAGUAACAACAACUCAUGUGGCACUGCCAGUUGAUUAUAAGCCCAUUGAUGUAGUUGGUCAGCACUCUGACCCUCAACUUUGCCCCCUGCUCAACUUCGUUUACAGCGGCAAGCCCAACAGACGCUGCAUUAAAAAAUAAAAGCGAAAAUAUUGCAAAUUGCAAUACACAAGCGCAGACAAAAUGGCAACAAUGCUAGCGGUAGAGAGAGAGAGGAGUGUAGUGCAGAAGCAGAGGUGGCAACUGUUGCAACUGGCCAAAACGACAUGGCCAUCAACUCCGCCCCGCCCGACGCCCCGCAUCCGCCUUUGGCUGUGUGCAGCGAAGCGCACCACCCAGAAUGGGUUGGUUUUUUGGGUGCAACCGGCGUCCGUCCAGCUGCCCCCGCCUGGCUCCGCAUGCAGCCGGCUGCUCCUUGGUGGUUUAUAGGUGCGCACACCCGUCACAUGGCUACCGAAUGCGCCAUUUUUCGCAUAUUCCAUUCUGGCCCAGCACAAAUGCUGAAAAUUCCACACCAACUCUGGCCAACAAUGCCGCUAAAUAAACUUCAUUCAGUUGCA